GGAACGCUAUGGCGGAGAAGCUUUAUGGCUAUCCUGCAGCGAAGCAGUUGGGGUGGGGAGAAUCCAAUUAGUGUUAUUGCAGUAGGUCGUGAUACUACUUUCUUUGUGAAUAUUGCUAAGCGUUGUGUCCGUGGAGAGAGCUGGCUACAUUAAAGGCGCAAGAAGGUGAAACGAGCUUUGCACCAGCAAGGUGAGAGUAGUACUAUACUCUCUGAGGGUGGCAGUGGGGAUAGCCAUCAAUCAGAUCAUAGUGUCUUCGGUGCGACUCACUCAGACCACAGGGACGAUGCAGCAUCAAGUGGUGCCAGCGGGAUUUUGAUGUGGAUUAUGAUGCGAAGAGAGAAGAGGGAUUCCCGUCACUUCAAACGGAUGCGGUUUCCACGAGGAAGAAGAUUCUGCUGUAUACACUUGGUUUUAUGACCACAAGCCACUAGUAAAGACCAAACUGAUUAAUGGUCCCAGCUACCAGGAACCGUGAGUAAUGAAGAAGCUCAAGUAUCAUGAGAAGAAGGUUCUGAAGAAAUUAAAUUUCUUGGAAUGGAAAAGAGAAGGUGGCCAUCGCGAAAUCCUCAUCACCACAUGGGUGGUCGUGACGAUUACAAAAAGUUCGCCACUUUUGUUUUUUUUUGUUCCUCUCUUUAUUGUAAUGAACUAUAGGUUUCUGAUUCUUGAGCUUGUUUUUGGUCAGGUAUUCAGGAUUGUGUAGUAUGGCGCAGAAACUGACGAAUGUUAUCUUU